GCGGAGUGUGGAGAGGAUGAGCUCGCGAGGGGGCGGACGGGUUCCAAUCCGUCUGGAAGGGCGGAGGCACGGAGGGCGAUUCCCCGUACGUGCUCGGUCCGUCCCCGACGAGCGAACGCAUCGGAGAGUCGGGCCGCUUGAGAGUGCAGCCCGAAUGGGGUGAUAGGUCUCAUCCAAGGCUAAGUACGUGGGAGACGCCGAUAGCGAACAAGUACGGCGACGGAAAGGUGAAAAGAACCUCGAAAGGGGGUCAAAAGCGCUCGAAAUCGUAGAGGGGGAAGCGGACCUGACCGACGAGACCUCGUCGUCGCUCGCGCUCGACCCACGCUUCGUCGCGGAGUUCCGGAGGGCUCGCCCCCCGGAGCCGCGGCGCGGCGGGGGUCGGGAGGCGCUCGGCGGCGGGGCCGCUUGCGCGGGACCGGCGUCGCGCCGAACGAGAGGUCGCCUCGGCUCGCCCGAAAGGACGCGCCGGGGGGC
rnacentral:rRNA from 1 species